UAUUGUUUCUUUUUCAUGUCUGUGCUUCGUUGUUCUGUAUUAUGUUUUCAUUUAUUUAUGAAAUUAUUCCAACCCCAAACCUGCUUCCCGACUCCCAGCGCACACGUUGCACUUUAAAAGUAGCGUUUGACUAAUUCAUGCGAUGGAGGGCCGUUUAAGGGGGACCAUGGUUUUGGUACAUCCUGUUCUUUUGGUAUCUGUCAAGGACACAGCUGUGUGGAGCCAAGGUUUAUGGCCAUGCUGGACCAGUACACCCCUAAGCUGUUGUCCUUAUUCCAUUCCAAGGGAGUAUCACUUGGACACAGAUUGCAGGUCAUGCUGGAUGUCCUACUCCAGGACCGAAGCAGUACCUCCAUUGAGAAGACCAGUGGAUUUGUUAACCACCUGGCUGAAGAUGAACCCUGAAUUACAGAAAAUACUAAAUGAAAGCAGAAAGUCAAAAUGACUCAUCAGUAAACGGGAUCCUCUAAGCAUUCUGAAUUGCCCUAGAGGCACCAAAACAUUACAUUUCUGAACAUUUAAGAUUGUUCCACUGAUGUCAAAAAGCUGAUUUACCUAAGUUGGAGACCAAAAGGUGUGGUAACUCGUAUGUUUAAAGUUUAGUAAUGUUAGGUACAGUGGAACUUUUUGUAAAAGUAUCAACCUACGUGACAGAGGGCCAACCAACUUUCGAGAAUGCAGUGAUGAGUGCUAAAACUGUUGCCUGUAAUAAAGUGCAUCUAACGGCUUUAAUGAAGUAGCCGCUGCGUUCAUAUAGUCUAGGACCAAUAGGCACGUUAAUUGAGUGUUUACCGAGGCAGGACCUAGUUCUAGAGAAGAAUCCCAUUUUUAUUCUCCGCUUCUUAACUAACCCAAUAUGCUUUUUAAAAGACAGCAUUUUAUUUGCCCAGAUACUUGUAAGCAGGGACAUGAUCAAUAUGGAUACUAUCCAAAGUACAUAUGCUUAAAUCAGACUUUAUGCACUCUCGAGAACAUAUACUUAGUUUACAAGGGGCUCCUGAGUGACGCAGCAGUUUAAGGCACCACUAGAGACCAUGGUUCAAUUCCAGGCUGUAUCACAACCGGCCGUGAUUGGGAGUCAUAAGGGGGCUAGGGUUAGGCCAUCAUUGAAAAUAAGAAUUUGUUCUUAACAGACUUGCCUAGUUAAAUAAAAUAGAAAACCUGCAUUCAAUACUAAUUUCAAGUCUUUCUGUAAUGCAAUGAAAGACUGUAGUUGGAGCCUGGCCAACCGUGGAGGGACUAGCAAACAGUUUCAUCAGUAUACAAGUGCAGGUUACAGACAAGUCGAUAUUGUUAAUGUAAAAAAGUACAAGACUCAACAACCCCUGCAGCACACCUUUCAUAAUAUCCGGGAAACCUGAUUUAACACCAUCAGCAGAUACAUAGUUCUGUCAAGUAAUUUCUAAAACAGUUACAUGCAGCUAGGUCUAGGCCAAUUGAGGGAAGCCUCUAAAUUAGAGGUGCAUGAGCAACAGUAUCGAUAGCCUUUGACAGGUCAAUGAAGAGGGCAGCACAAUGUUGCCUUUUAGCCAUACAAUGAACCACAUUUAUGACUACGGAUGCAGCAGAGAUAGUGCUAUGACCUGGUCUAAAACCCAACUGAUGUGCAUUUAUAAUACAUUUCAAAGAUAAAGAGCAAAGCUGAUAAUUUAAUCAAGGAAUCUAAUAUUUUAGCUAGGCAAGAGGAUUUAGAAAUAGGGCAAUAAUUAUUUAGCACCUUUUGAAGGGGGAUUACAUGGGCCGCCUUCCAAACCUUGGGGAUAGUACCAGAUAUGAUCUUCAGGUAAAAAGGAGUUAAUGAUUCAGCAAAUCGGGAGGCAGAGAGCUGCAGCAAAAAUAGAUCAAGCAUAUCAGCCCCAGUGGAUUUUUUAAAUAUCAAUAUUAAGGCAUCUAGCACAUCAGAUAGUAAAUUGUUGAAAUUAAAACAAAGAUUCACCAGAUAUAACUCAACGCGAAACCCAGAUGCAGACACAGGAGGCCGAUGGUUGAAGUCAUUGAUGUUUAAGAAUCCAAAAAGGAGUAGGCAUGAGAAUGGUCGCGGAAGGGCUAAAGGUCAAAACCAGAUCAGAGUCCAGGAGGUACAGAAUGGCAGGCAGGCUCGAGGUCAAGGCAGGCAGAAUGGUUAGGCAGGCAAGUACAGAGUCCAGAAACAGGCAAGGGUAAAAAUCCAGGAGGACUAGCAAAAGCAGAAGAACAGGAAAAGCGACUGGUUGACUUGGACAUACAAGACGAACUGGCACAGAGAGCCAGGAAACACAGGGAUAAAUACACUGGGGAAAACAAGCAUUUCAUUUUCCAUUUGUUUUGUCUUGUCUUCCUACACACCUGGUUUCAAUCCCAUUCAUUACCUGUUGUGUAUUUAACCCUCUGUUUCCCCUCAUGUCUUUUUUCAGAUUGUUUGUUAUUUCAGUGUUGUGUUGGUGCGUGAUCGGGUCCUCGUACCCACUUUGUUUUAUUUGUUACAUUUAGUGUUGGAGUUCUGUUUUCGUCUGUUAUUAAAUACUCCAUUACACUCAGUUUGA